rnacentral:rRNA from 1 species
GUGGGGAAUAUUGGACAAUGGGCGCAAGCCUGAUCCAGCCAUGCCGCGUGAGUGAUGAAGGCCUUAGGGUUGUAAAGCUCUUUCAGUGGGGACGAUAAUGACGGUACCCACAGAAGAAGCCCCGGCUAACUUCGUGCCAGCAGCCGCGGUAAUACGAAGGGGGCUAGCGUUGUUCGGAUUUACUGGGCGUAAAGCGCACGUAGGCGGAUCGUUAAGUCGGGGGUGAAAUCCUGGAGCUCAACUCCAGAACUGCCUUCGAUACUGGCGAUCUUGAGUCCGGAAGAGGUGAGUGGAACUCCGAGUGUAGAGGUGGAAGUCGUAGAUAUUAGGAAGAACACCAGUGGCGAAGGCGGCUCACUGGUCCGGUACUGACGCUGAGGUGCGAAAGCGUGGGGAGCAAACAGGAUUAGAUACCCUAGUAGUCC